AGCUUUGCGCAGUGGCAGUAUCGUAGCCAAUGAGGUUUCACCGAGGUGCGAUUAUUGCUAAUAGAAAGCCACAGAUGGUCCUGGAGACCAGAGCCAUCAAAACCCUUGUUCUUGUGCGGAAAAGAAGGCAAACCAGGGACCGAACUUGGCUUUUGAAGAUGACUCACCACCAAAAUCCCAGGUCUUGAUGACAGGUUAAAUCUUGUAAAACUUUAAUUUGGCGAAGAAGU
rnacentral:snRNA from 10 species